UGACGGUACCUACAGAAAAAGCAACGGCUAACUACGUGCCAGCAGCCGCGGUAAUACGUAGGUUGCAAGCGUUGUCCGGAUUUACUGGGUGUAAAGGGCGUGUAGGCGGAGCUGCAAGUCAGAUGUGAAAUCCCGGGGCUCAACCCCGGAACUGCAUUUGAAACUGUAGCCCUUGAGUAUCGGAGAGGCAAGCGGAAUUCCUAGUGUAGCGGUGAAAUGCGUAGAUAUUAGGAGGAACACCAGUGGCGAAGGCGGCUUGCUGGACGACAACUGACGCUGAGGCGCGAAAGCGUGGGGAGCAAACAGGAUUAGAUACCCUG
rnacentral:rRNA from 1 species